GCGUGUUAUUUGAUUAAAUUGAUAAUCGUUUUAUAUUUGCAGAUUACUGACAAAAUGUAGGUACACGUAUAAUUAUAAAAUAUUACAUUAAGUACUUAUAAUAUUUUUAUAAUAUUACAAUCAUGGUCAUAUACAUUACAGAUUUACAGUUUCACGUGGGCGCGUAGCGUACCUUAUGUAUAUCCACAUGUAUGCAUAUUAGACGUUUUGUAUAAUAAUGUGACAGUAUCAGGGUUGUGAGUGCCCUAGGGUCCGAACGCAUUAUAUUCUUGACUUUUAAUUUGAGAUGAUUUUUUUUUUUUGGAAACAAAAAUUCGAAAUUUACGACUUAACUAUUACCGGUUGAUACUGCUAAACAGUGAAUGGAUACUUAUUCUGUUGGCGCCUCUAAUUUUAUUUGAACGUUGUGGGUGCUCAGGUACCACGGACUCCCUCUUAAAUCCGGCAUUUUAAUAUUAUAUUGCAUGGUUUUCCAAAUUAUAUGCGACUGUCGCAAUGGAUUUCAUAAGAAAUAUAGGUGUUAUAUAAUACGAGUAUAUAUUUAUAGACCUAUUACCUACCUAUAUAUUUUGUGGAAAUUUGUGGGAUAACUUGUUAAACUCAAGUAGGAAUUAGAUUAGGGACAUAUAUUUGAUAUAUUUCAUUCCCAGCGAACGGUGGUUUGUAUAGGAAUUAUUUUCACUCCGGUUGGUCCAAUUUGUCACUGGCUAGGCUUAGCCAUAAUUAGAAAUUUGUUAAAGGACCAGUUUGGGCUAUAAUUAUGUCACAUACAAUAUAAAUGGAUACAGAUUUUCUUGAUGAUUCCUCUUGAACUUUUCCAGUCGACCUAUGUCUUAAAGUGUCGAAAACUCGAACCAUUUUUUUCAAAAGUUUCAAAAGUUGUAUUUGUACCAUGUAUAUGGGGUAGGAAAACAAUAUUCUCAGUAGAUCACGGAUGGACGAUGGUUGAAAAUUCAUCUUUACAACACUUGUUUAAAACAAAAAUAGUUUUUGCAAUAGGUACCACCAACAAAUAGUUUUUGUUUACUAAUAGGUAGGUAGGUACGUUUCUUAAGUUUCUAGAAUUUUGGUAUGCAUCAACCGGUCUAAUUGAACUAUGUUAUUUCACCAUGAGCAAAGUGAUCCCCCUCUCUUAUAUUCACCUCUGCUAGUGAAUGCAAUACACUGUCACAUAUUAUAAUUUGGAAAACUCUACACCUAUAUAAUAAUAAUAAUAUGUACUAUCCAUGGGUACUAUCGCAUUAAUUCACAUACCUACAUGUCAUUAUCGGCUACGAGACGAUAGGACGACAGUCGUUGGAUACAUUAACGAGUACCUAUUUUUGUCCGAGAACGGAUUAACAGGUUUUUUUUGUUCCAGACUUCCAGUGAUACAUGUCGACUUACACCGAAAUGUAAAAACAAAAAAACCCACGAAAAUUCACCCUUUCACAUUCCAUACAACUGUAUAAUAGUAUACUCGACUUAGGCCUAACUACUUAACCUAGUCUUUAAUGAACAUUACAUGUAUAUAUUUUAUAAUAGUUUGAUAAUGCGUGUAUAAUGUGUAUUUAUGGUAUUUAUGUUUGUAUAAUAUUAUGUUAUGUACUGUUAUAGCGGUUCGGAAAUUCGGCGCAGCAUGUUUAGGCACUUUCACCUGUUCCGUAUUCAAAAUUCACAUAACGUUUGAGCACUUAAUAUCCCUAAAAACAGCAUGUUUAGGCAUUCAAAUAAAAAAAGUAUCUAUAUAAAAUAUAUACAUACAUUUAUCUGCUAUAUAUUAUACAAAUAUAAAC